GUGCCAGCAGCCGCGGUAAUACAGAGGUGGCAAGCGUUGUUCGGAAUUACUGGGCGUAAAGGGCGCGUAGGCGGUCGCCUAAGUCGGACGUGAAAUCCCCAAGCUUAACUUGGGAACUGCGUCCGAUACUGGGUGACUUGAGUUCGGGAGAGGAAUGUGGAAUUCCAGGUGUAGCGGUGAAAUGCGUAGAUAUCUGGAGGAACACCGGUGGCGAAGGCGGCAUUCUGGACCGAAACUGACGCUGAGGCGCGAAAGCCAGGGGAGCAAACGGGAUUAGAUACCCCAGUAGUCC
rnacentral:rRNA from 1 species